rnacentral:rRNA from 1 species
CAGCAGUAGGGAAUCUUCCACAAUGGACGAAAGUCUGAUGGAGCAACGCCGCGUGAGUGAAGAAGGUUUUCGGAUCGUAAAACUCUGUUGUAAGGGAAGAACACGUACGAGAGUAACUGCUCGUACCUUGACGGUACCUUAUUAGAAAGCCACGGCUAACUACGUGCCAGCAGCCGCGGUAAUACGUAGGUGGCAAGCGUUGUCCGGAAUUAUUGGGCGUAAAGCGCGCGCAGGCGGUUCUUUAAGUCUGAUGUGAAAGCCCACGGCUCAACCGUGGAGGGUCAUUGGAAACUGGAGAACUUGAGUACAGAAGAGGAAAGCGGAAUUCCACGUGUAGCGGUGAAAUGCGUAGAGAUGUGGAGGAACACCAGUGGCGAAGGCGGCUUUCUGGUCUGUAACUGACGCUGAGGCGCGAAAGCGUGGGGA